UUGAUUCAUUUAGAAGCUUUACUCAGAUGUUACUCGGUAAAAACAAGAGUUAAAUGGGCCACCGGCGGGCCUGCUGUCCUCCCCCGGCGGUUUUACGACCGGGAGGGGGCCCCCCCCCACAGGUGGGAGGGGCAGCCAGCGCCGAGGCAACGAUGUAGGUAUAAGUUCACAAAGGGUUUCUGGGUGCGCCUUGCGGCGCUUCCAGCAAUGAUCCCUCCGCUGGUUCACCAACGGAGA
rnacentral:misc_RNA from 1 species